GAACCGAGAAGCUCAAGAGUCUCCGCACAAUCAUGGAGCCUCCCUCUUCUUCUCCCGUGGCACUCGCCCGGGCCUUGGCAGUGCUGCUUCUCAUAUGCUCUUCCCUGGCAGCUCAAGCUGGCCCGGGUCCAUCUGCCGGAACCCGUCUGGGACGAAGCCCUCCGUCGCCGGUAGCCCCGGGCGGCCCCGGUAUGUUUAUCAAGUGCGCAGACUGCCGCUCCCGCGCCACUCCGCCGGCGCCCCACCGCAAAGGCUAGCCCUGCAGGCCUUCCCGGACGUCGACAGUGAGACGCUUGCGCAUGAAGCAACACAGAUAUGUAAAUCAUGCGGCGACCUCGCUGGAGUGUGUCGUUGCUGGCUCUGGUCGUAGCUUUUGAAUUCUCGCUGGAGUGCUUCCUUCCCAUGUGUUUUUCGUCCUUUUGCUUAGCCUCAGCGUGUGCUACCUGGUUGCUCUUAUAACUGUAUUUUUUUUGAACUGUAUUAACCCGUAGAAUGUAGGAGUAAUCAUUUGUAAGGGUCAUCGCUGAAGGGUGCUUUUUUCAAAGUCA